AAAACAUGCAAUUCGAGGGGCAGCACGGGACUAGCAAUACAACUGGUGGCGACCGGCGCACGGGUGAGUAACACGUAUGCAACCUACCUGUAAGCGGGGGAUAACCCGGAGAAAUUCGGACUAAUACCGCAUGAUACUGUAAACCCGCAUGGGUUAACAGUUAAAUAUUUAUAGUUUACAGAUGGGCAUGCGUAUGAUUAGAUACUUGGUGAGGUAAGGGCUCACCAAGUCAACGAUCAUUAGGGGUUCUGAGAGGAAGGUCCCCCACAUUGGAACUGAGACACGGUCCACACUCCUACGGGAGGCAGCAGUGAGGAAUAUUGGUCAAUGGGCGAGAGCCUGAACCAGCCCAAGUCCCCGUGAAGGAAGAAGGUUCCCAUGGAUUGUAAACUUCUUU
rnacentral:rRNA from 1 species